AUUAAAUUAAAUUCCAGGAAGCAGUGCUAAUGACAGCCCUAUCGAGUCACGGGAGAGGCUACCAGCCCCAGCCUUUGGAAAGCAUGGCAAGGAGGACUAGGCAAUAACAUGAACAAAGCAGUAGCUCCUGGGAAUAGAAUUGAUUAUCAUUUCCCAGGCCCCCCAAGGACCCUGGGCUUCCCAGGGGAGGUGGCCUUUGGAGACUGCCUAUGCAACAGGCACAGUGGCAGGUUGUACCAUGAACUCUUCAAGGACAAAGAGAAGGAGGGAGGUUAAGUUUAGUCCUUGGCCCCAAAGCCCUGAGAGCUCCUGAGUUCCCUGCAGGGCUUGGGUAGCUCCUCCCCAGUCAUACAGAAACACCCUGAAUGCCAGAACCAGUUGGGUUUGUAGGGCUAGGCAUGGAUCACUGGUUUGGAGAUGUUGGUGCCCCUACCUCAGCAUCCCCUGGAGACUUUGGAACCCCCUGUGUGGCCUGUUCCUCCAUGAUGCCUCAUGGCAGUCCCCUCUCACACCAGUCUUCUCUUGCUCUCGCUAUUCUGGCCCGGCUGGACUCCUCUCUGGUUUGGGAGCAUCCAGCUCCUUCCCAACCCAGGGCCCUUGCACUUGCUGCUGCCUCUGUCGUCACUCUCUUCUGGCUUGUUACAAGACUGGUCCUUCCACAUGAUUCAAAGAUCCCCUCCUCAGACUGUCUUCUCCUGCACAUACCUCCCAGUGGCUCUAGUGUCACCCUGUUGAUUUCCUCUGAAAUGGUGAAGUUCAUUUCCCUGUUUGUUUGGUGUGUGUUCCUCAAGGACAGGGCCCAGCUGCCUCUUUUACCAUAGGGUUCUCAGCACAUUGGCAGGCAAUAUGUUCAGGGAACAGUGGUUGAACAGAUGACCCCUUCCUCUGGAUCUUCCCGCACUGCCCCCGAGCCCCCACCCCUGUGUCAGGCUGGGCCCCCUUGCCUAAUCCAGAAGCUUAUGGGGAAGGGGUGCUGGGGCCUGAAUUCUCCAGGUCAAAGCCAAUGAUCUGUGAAGAGGGUGGAUGACCAGAAAGGGGGACUUUGGGAUCCAGGACCCCCAGGCUUUUGAGUUUACCUCCUGGACGAAGAGAGGCCUGGGAAGAGGGGUCUGCAAGAGAGCAGGGAGGGAGGGCAGGAUGGCUGACUCCAGUUUCAGAACUUCCACUGGGCUAAGAAGCAGGAAGGGGAAAGCACAGGAGUUGAACCAGGAAGUAGAGCCUGCCCCAGGGCAGUAAGGCGGGAGCAAGCUGUAGCCACGAGGCCUACAAGCAGUAGCCGCAAGGCUGUGAUUGAGUUGGUCACAGGUCCUUGGCCAGGGACUCCCUGUCAUCUGGGAGCCAUGGAGGUAGGGUGGUCAGGAUCCUGAACUCUGGGCAUCCCUGUGGGGUCCUACCUAGUCCUGGACUCUGGGCAGGGACAGGCACACCCACCCCGAAACUGCCUUUGGGGAAGUGCUAGCAGCUUCCCCUUCCUAGAGCCUGCAGGCAAGCAUGUCACAGCCCACUGAGAGGGUCUUCGUUCCUCAACCUGCUCAGGGCUACUGCUCGAUAGGAACUCAGGCCAAGCUGGACCUGCUGUGCUGCCUGUGGUGAGCCCCAAGACUAUUCUGGCAGUAGGGGUGAACCAGCAGCUGCCACUUCUCCAUUCCAGCUGAGGGGCCACCCUCAACUCUGCUGAUGUCAUUCCAUUGUCCUUUAUGGUCUAGUCCAAGCGGUGCUGGGCCUGGUGGGCAUGGGGUCAAGUCAUGCCUCCUCUGGUGCUCGUGAGGCCUUGGCUAGGCAGCUGCCCUCUGCCCCCAAAAUGAACUCUCCUGAAAGGACUCCUGGAUUCCUGAGUAUGAAGAAACCGAGAUGCCCACGAUGUACCUCACCGAUGACUGUGACUGGCUCCUGGCCCACUCUAGACCUCAGCUGACUCAGCUGCAAAGCAAGGGGUGCUGGGGAGUCAGGGAAGAGCACCAUCGUCAAGCAGAUGAAGAUCAUCCACGAGGACGGCUACUCUGAGGAGGAAUGCCGGCAGUACCGGGCGGUUGUCUACAGCAACACCAUCCAGUCCAUCAUGGCCAUUGUCAAAGCCAUGGGCAACCUGCAGAUCGACUUUGCCGACCCCUCCAGAGCGGACGACGCCAGGCAGCUAUUUGCACUGUCCUGCACCGCCGAGGAGCAAGGCGUGCUCCCUGAUGACCUGUCCGGCGUCAUCCGGAGGCUCUGGGCUGACCACGGUGUGCAGGCCUGCUUUGGCCGCUCAAGGGAAUACCAGCUCAACGACUCAGCUGCCUACUAUCUGAACGACCUGGAGCGUAUUGCACAGAGUGACUACAUCCCCACACAGCAAGAUGUGCUACGGACCCGCGUAAAGACCACGGGGAUCGUGGAGACACACUUCACCUUCAAGGACCUACACUUCAAGAUGUUUGAUGUGGGUGGUCAGCGGUCUGAGCGGAAGAAGUGGAUCCACUGCUUUGAGGGCGUCACAGCCAUCAUCUUCUGUGUAGCCUUGAGCGCCUAUGACUUGGUGCUAGCUGAGGACGAGGAGAUGAACCGCAUGCAUGAGAGCAUGAAGCUAUUUGAUAGCAUCUGCAACAACAAGUGGUUCACAGACACGUCCAUCAUCCUCUUCCUCAACAAGAAGGACCUGUUCGAGGAGAAGAUCACACACAGUCCCCUGACCAUCUGCUUCCCUGAGUACACAGGGGCCAACAAAUAUGAUGAGGCAGCCAGCUAUAUCCAGAGUAAGUUUGAGGACCUGAAUAAGCGCAAAGACACCAAGGAGAUCUACACGCACUUCACGUGCGCCACCGACACCAAGAACGUGCAGUUCGUGUUUGACGCCGUCACCGAUGUCAUCAUCAAGAACAACCUGAAGGACUGCGGCCUCUUCUGAGGGGCAGCGGGGCCUGGCGGGAUGGGCCACCGCCGACUUUGUACCCCCCAACCCCUGAGGAAGAUGGGGGCAAGAAGACCACGCUCCCCGCCUGUUCCCCCGCCGCUUUUCUCCUCUUUCCUCUCUUUGUUCUCAGCUCCCCCUGUCCCCUCAGCUCCAGACGUAGGGGAGGGGUUGCCACAGGCCUCCCUGUUUGAAGCCUGCCCUUGUCUGAGGUGCUGGUAAUGGCCAUGGUACCCCCUUCUGGGCAUCUGUUCUGGUUUUUAACCAUUGUCUUGUUCUGUGAUGAGGGGAGGGGGGCACAUGCUGAGUCUCCCAAGGCUGCGUCUGGAGGGGCCCCUGCUUCUCCAGCCUGGACCCCCAGCUUUGCCCAACACCAGCCCCUACCCCAGCCCAAGUCCAAAUGUUUACAGGGAGCCUCCUGCCCAGUCCCCCACCCCCAGCCGCUCGGAGGCCCCAAAGGAAAAAGCACAAGAAGCGUGAGACGCCACCAUUCCUGGAAACCACAGUCCACCUGCUCAUUCUCAUAGCUUUUUAAAAAAAUGAAAGUAAAGGAAAAAAAAAAAAAACUGCAAAUCUAGAAAACUUUUUAGAGAAAAACUAUUUAAAACUGUCAGAUCCUGACCAGCAAACCCCCUCCCCAGGCCCCCUUCCAAGUGACUCCGUGCCUUGAGUGUGUCUGCGUGUUUACACCCGUCCCUCUGCUGGCCGCCCCCGUGCGAGCGGCACCCCUGCCCUGUCCUCCACAGAAUUGGGUUCCAAGGGCUGUUCCAGACAACUGCCAACGUCACUGAGGGCCCUGCCCCAGCGGCCCUGGGCCCAGGCUCUAUUAACCUAAAAUGUAGCUCCCUAGCGCUAACCUAGGAACCGCCACUGCCUGCUGGGGGGCCACGCCCCUCAUGCCCUUGUCCCAGGCCCGGGGCCUUCAGCGUUGAACACUUCCUUGCUUUUUUCACAUGUUUUAUGGAAUUGUUCACCUGGUUUGAAAUAAUAAAAUGUAGAAAG
rnacentral:sRNA from 1 species